CGGGAAUGGAUCCUGCCGGAAUGGAUCCUGCCGGGAGCCAGCGGGGUUGCAUGAGGUGAUUUGAGCUGUCUUUUGUGGCAUCAUUUUUCUCAUGCAGGACCCUCCGUUCUUUGAGAUAAUCGUAAAAUCUGCAGACAUCCCUAAGGCUGGAAUCUGAAUGUCGUUGCACCCCAGUCUUUGGAUAAUACACUAGAAAUCAUGAAGUGGAUUUUAACUCUUUUGUUUAUUGUCUUUUUUUGGAUUCACAGACUAUUCUGAGUUAGAAAGGGCUCCACAAGGAUCCUCGAGUCCAGCUCUUAAGUAAAUGUCCCAUAGGGGAUUGCACCCACCACCUUCGUGUUACCAGCUCCAUGUUCUGACCAACUGCAACUCCUGAAAUUUAACAAAUUUAACUACAAAUAUUGAUGUGUUCUUUCAAUGAACCCACACAUCACCAUGAGGGCAUCACAAUAUCCCAGCUGUAUGCUGCUCUGCUUGAGGAUUUUGAAGCCCAGAUUGCCUGGUCUGGUGGAAAUAUUUCUGGUGGAGAUAUGUAGGUGCAAGCUCUGCCAUUUCACAAGCAGGACCAAAAGUAAGAUCAGGAGACACCUGGUUCAAAUCUGUGAAACUGAUAUGGCAUGUCGAAUUUCAGGCUGCCCUAAAAUGGACCAAGGUAAAAGUGAGCUUUGGAGAUGAAAAGAAUGAAAACAAAGACAAUCUUGAAAAAAAUUACUCUCUUGUUGCUUGUGUGUCAGGUACCUUAAAAUAAGAGUCCUUGCUGCUGUGGCAUGAGCUCAAGCAUAGUCCUCAUGCAUCACUCCUGAGAAAUGACCACCUUGUUCGGAGAAGUAGCAGCUUAUUUUCAACUUGAAGAACCCUGCAGUGCUGACUUCUCUUCCAUAUUCCAAGAGAAAGGACAGAUAAACCCAGUGUAUGCCUCUUAGCAUCUGUCACGUUUCCAGUGUUAGAACCCAGAUAUUUGCUGGGGAAAUUAAAAGUCCCUAAGGCUCAAUCAAGGUGUAAACAUCAUAGGAAAAUCAAUUGAAAGCUGGAUCUAAAGGCUCACCUCACCCUAUGGAGGAUACUCGUGCCUUAAAGCUGGGUUCUGAGAGAAGCAGCAUUUCUGAAUGUGUGGAAUGUAGCACUAGAGCUGAAAGAUGCUGAGAAAAUCCAUUUAAAGGGUCAUGAUGUGGAUCGUGGCUUUAAAUGUGUUUAUUGUCACAUGACUGAGUAAAUCUUAAUGGAAAAUCAUUGAAGAUCACACAUGUGAAUAAAAGAAACCUUCCAGUGCUUCAUCUGUGAAAGUGCUUUUAUAUCACUUUAUAAAGUGCCUGGAAAGUGCCCAGAAACAGCCAUCAGAGGAAACCUCAUCUCAGUGCACAUCAUCUGGAACUGAGCAGAUAAGCAAUCUUCAUGUAGCUUGCUUGGCAUUAUCAGGAUAUGGUUAUGUGCCCACACAGUGAUUUUACCAAGCCUUCAAAGUUACUGGCUUCAUCUCCAUCACAACAUCCUUACAUGUGUCGGUGGUGUCUUGACUGAACCACGCUGGUGCACACUGGAUUGGAGAGUCAGAUCAGGUAUUCAAAACCAGAUAUCAGUUGAGUGGACAUCACAAGCAAAACCACAAAUGGAAGAGAAGGAAGAAGCCUGAAGAUAAUCCUGUGUGUUUCAACACAAAAGCAACUUGAAAGAAGGAUUCAAGCUAAUUUAAAUGUAGUAUGUACAGUAAGUAUGAUCUGUAUUAUAGCAAAACUUGCUAUUUUGUUUCUUAAUUACAGAUUGGUAAUCUGGCACAUCUCUUUAUUUGCUGAUUUACUUACAUAUUUUUGUAAGAAAGUUGCUCUUUGAUAGCCUGAACAAAAAUAAAAAUUGCUGCCUCCUACUUGGUUUGUGAUAGUACCAGUCUUUAGAAUAAAUUAAGCAUGUGCUGAUCAAAAGGUGCAGCUAAGGUUUUCUGCAGCAGUUUGUUGCAGGCAAUAUCAAAGUCCAGGCACUGAAAUAGAUUCUUUCAGGAGCCAAGAGAAAUGCUGUGAGACUUCUUGGAAUUCUGCAAGUUAACUAGGUGAAAAAACAGCUUCCUUUGGGUCAUGGCUGCAUUUUUAAGAGGAACAUUAACUGAAGUACCAGUUUUAUCAGUUAAUGUAAAAUUCUACUUAUCUGCACUUGUAAGGGUUAACACCAAGACUUUGCCUGGCCUCAAGUGCGUCCUUUCUUCCAAAGAGAUUUUGAGAAGGCAUUUGAUGUUUUUCUGUUAUUCUGAAAAGAUAUCUUUUUCUUUGAUAAAGAAAAUAAUAAUCUCUAGCCAUCACCUGUCCAUGAGUUGACAUUACAAAAUAUCAAAAUCUGAUAGCUUUUCUAAUAUUUAGGUAGAGAAGCUUGAGUACAUCUCUUGGUUUCUUCUAAGUAUGUGCAUUUGGCUUGGGGUGCUUUCUCUUUUUGUUGUUGUUUGUGACCAUACAUGUCUGUUACAUUGUCAGAAAACAUUUUUGCAACAUUUUGACUAGAGAAGUCACUUUCUUACUUUCACAGUUGUGUAUCAUAAAUAAAUUCAAAUAAUCAAAGCUUUUUCCCCAAAGGCUUCUUUGUCUCACUGUUUUCUAGGACUUAAAUAAUUGUCUAUACUGAAUCUGGCUUUCCUCAUUUGAAGUUAUUGCUCAUGUGGAAAAUAAUAAAUAUAUGUUUUAGUAGCUCUCUGAAAUUAGUAUAAUAAAAAGAAAGCAAAAAUGGAAUUUGGGUUCAGCUAGUCAAAGGCCUAAUUGCUUGAAGUGGGCUAGAGCCUUUUUGUUAGUAAGUAGGGAGCAGCCCAAUGUGCUGAUGAUGUACCUUGUACAUAGACAUCUGCCUUCUGGGCUUUU